rnacentral:lncRNA from 1 species
CCAUUCAUUCAUUCAUUCAUUUCUCCACAGUCUUUCUUCCGCUUCUUAAGCACCAUUGUGGAGUUUGGUGGUUAAUCAAUGUUUCUAUUUGCAUGUGCGUACUACAUUGUGCUGUUUACCAACACUAGUAUGUAUUACAAUUUCAUACACUACUACAUGGUAGAGAGAGUGUAUUAGAAAUCUAAGAAGGAAAAUGGACAAGUUGGUAAGGAUUGUAAUUGCAAUGGA